GUCCCGCCUCCCCGGCCGCAGAAAGGCUGCUGCUUGGUGGCUGGGCUGGGGCCGAGAGCUGGCAGGGCAGGAAGCCUUUGCACAAUUGAGCCUUUCCUUUGCCCGGGGACCCGUCACCCCCACCCACGUCCCGGGGCUGCUGCUGGUUCGGGCAUUCUUUGGAAGGGGGCAGAUGGAUCCGCCAGCCUCCUCGCCCCGCUUCUGACUCCGCCCACCCUUCUUCCCUACCCGGGUCUGAGCUGGGACUCGUGGGAGCAGAGGAGGGGGAGGCCCCAGAAGUGCCGGGCAAAUAGUAGGUGCUCAGUAAAGUAACGUGACUUCUUCCCACUUUCCCGACUCUACCACUGCCUCUCCUCCUUCUAGGGCCGUGGGAGUGGGAGGAGGGGGCAGAAGACGGGAGAGGAAACCACAAGAGCUGAAGACCGAGAAUGGGAAGGAGGUUGUCAGCCAGAACCUCGUGCAACCUCUCUGCAGUGCAAGGAUUCCACGCCCUCCCCAACCCUCCUACCCCCACGCCCGCCUCCUGGCCUGAGGGCUUCCAGACUGUGCAGGAAGAGUCCAGAAGGAAAUCAGGUGGCCGGUGCCCCUGGAGCAAGCUUUGAGCUCUGUCUUGAGGGGUUGAGAUUAGAAAGAAAAAAAAAAAAAAAAAAGCCAACUCCCUGGGAGGUCUCCGAAUGCUUCACCAGCAGUAUGAACCAGUGGGGAGCAGAGUCAGGAAAUGAUCCUGACAACACACACCCAUCGCAUUUGGGGGAGGAUUUGAUGACGUGAUACAGGUAAAGCAUUGGACCCAGUGCCUGGCACAGACCCAGAGCUCCAGAAUGUUCCCCCUUCAAUUGAGUCUGCGGUUUGAGGAACUACAGUGGCAAGAAAUCAUUUGCAUAUAUAAAGAGCCAUUCUUUCAAGCACUUCCCUCCCAGUUCUCCGGGAGAGCCACUAGGAGCCAGGAUUCUGAGCUCCAGCCUGCAGAGGCCUUAACUGAGCCAACCGGGAAGGGAGAGGAGCUGGCUCCAGCCAAAGGACUGGGCAGCAAGACAGAGGAGGAGGACUCAAGGCUUUGACUCUCAAGCUGCCGCCAACGAGGCUAACUCUGGGGCAAACUGGCAAGGGGUCCUACUUUGGGAUCUCUAGGAAAGAAGUGGUCUGUGAAUGCUUAUCCCAGUUUUCCCGCAUUUCUCUCCCUCCCUGGCCCUUUCUGCACAUCCCCCUGAGCUUUGGGGAGUGUGGGAAUGAUUGACGAACCCUGCUGCGGCACCCCUCCUCCCGCCAUGGGUACAGAUGUGCUGGGCAGCAGCUGUACCCUGCAACCUACACCUGUCGCCUAGAUCAGCUGUUGUAACUCUACUCCUGGGAAAUCAGGCCAGGUGCUCCGGCUUGCAUAAGUCCUCCUUUUGGCAGGUGUAAAGUCACAGCCUCUGCCUAUCACAGCAGCUAGCUCUCAGAGGCUACUUGGAAGAUGCCAGGGCCCUGGGAAUCUCAGCUACAGACCGGAACCCCUUCCAGUCCAGAGCUGCUUCCAGCUGUAUCCCUAUCCCAUAGCCCCUGGCUGGUUCUCGGACUACUCCCACCGGUACCACAUCGGGGUGUGGGAGACGGAGGAGGAAGGGGAGAGACCGACACCUCCACUGGGACCCAUCCCUCUAGCUCUCCUGGAAGCUGGGCAGCACUGUGGACCAGAGAAAUCAAAGAGAACUAGAGCUUGGGAGAAGAUUGGCAGUGGGGCCAAGGAGGAAGAAGGGUCUGGAAACGAGAGCAGAACUUGCUCUUGUGUGGCUUGGGCCACGGAGACAUUCGUUCCAGAGCCUGCAGCCCUGGAAGAUUUCCAUUGCACACUGAGCAUGCGUGGAGGCGUAGAUUGGGCAGGCACCGUGGGAGCGCGGCGCAGACGCAGGUCCAAGCCGUGGGAGAGCGAAGCGACCCGCCCGCCCGGAGCGCCUGGGUGCGGAGCGAAUCCAGAAAUCCCAGGGAGCCGAGAAAAUUUCAGUAAAGCAAGCCCAAGACACACAUCCUCCGACACCCAGCCACACAAUGCAUGGCACAUGCCAAUACACAUAAAAGCCUGGUGGAAACCAGAUGGUGACUUGGCGGCAGAUGGCUGGAUGUGUGUGUACGCCCACACCUGCUUCGGUCUUUGAAUGAACGUACCUUCCAUUUCCCCCUACUACUCCAACACUCAGGGAAAGGACUUGACUGGCGAUGCUCAGAGGGAUGCCAACGCCUUACCAGGAUGGUAUUCUCCAGUUCCCCAUCAACUCUGGCGGUGCCAAGAGAAACAGCCCAUGUGGCAAGCGGCUCCUGGCCAGAUGUGAGGCACUGCUGACCCCUGCUGGCAGAUUUCUCUCUGCAGCAACCGAGGAAAGCCCCAGGGAGAGAGAAUGGAGUAUUGGAAAAAGCUUGCAAUCCGUCUGGGAUGGGUAGGGCACAGAGUGUCUUCAUCUGGAGCUCCUCUGAUGAGACCCAAAAAAAUUAGAGUAAAACCCAGACAGAGUUUCUGGGAGGAGUGAGACAGACUAGUGCGUCCUUUCAGCCCCUCUGACUUGGAAAAACUCCCUGCUGCUGAUCCCUGCAAACCUAAAUUGGGAAUUAGCAACACUCCAUUAGCCAAAUUCAACCACUCAACCACUAAAAAAAAAAAAAAAAAAAAAAAGAAGAGAGAGAGAGAGAGAGAGAGAAACUUCUCCCUCCCUCUCCUUUCUUAUUCCAGUGCAGAGCCUUCCUGAACUUUUAAGUUAAUUUAUUGUGCAUCUGACUUUCCACCCUUAGACCUGGGGCUAGCAUGUGAUAAUCAUGGCUUUAUGUCUUUCUUUCCAUGGAAAGAGGUUGUUCUGACGCUCUUUGGGAAACCACAGUUAAGAAAGCUGACAUCUAGGAUAUUUGCAUCUGUGGUUAGUUAUUUUAAAAAUCUUUUUCUACACCUAGGAGAUGAAAUUCAAGUCUUCCAGAAUCUUUAUUGGAAUUAGAAGCAGGGACCAAAGGAGCACUGGCACUCUGAUAAUUCCAACAGAAUUAGUAUGGAAGCCCCAAGAAGUGAAGUCACUCAUUGUUAAGCCCCUUCCUCUACCCUGCAUCCCUUUUUAGCCACAGACCUUGUGCUCUCCUUCGCUGUAUAGGGUAUGUGUACUCCUUGUCUCUCUACAACCCAUUGCUGGCAGGCCUCCACUCUGAACACAGUGCCCGAACUGCUCUAGCAAAGGCAAUCCUUGGCUUCAGAAGCCAAAUCUAAUAUGCAUGUUCUUUCUUCUUUCUCUCCUCCUCCUCCUCCUCCUCCUCCUUCUUCUUCUUCUUCUUGAAAAUUUAUUUAUUUGACAGAGAGCUCGUGUGAGAAAAAACCCAAGUUGGGGGAGGAACGGGGGAGAGAAUCCUCAAACAGACUCCCAGCUGAUUGGUAGCUGGAGGCGGGACUGGA